rnacentral:rRNA from 1 species
CCUACGGGGGGCAGCAGUUGGGAAUAUUGGACAAUGGAGGGAACUCUGAUCCAGUGACGCCGCGUGAAGGAAGAAGGUCUUCGGAUUGUAAACUUAUUUUAUCAGGGAAGAAAAAAAUGACAGUACCUGAAGAAGAAGGACCGGCUAACUACGUGCCAGCAGCCGCGGUAAUACGUAGGGUCCGAGCGUUAUCCGGAUUUACUGGGUGUAAAGGGCGAGUAGACGGAACUGCAAGUCAGAUGUGAAAUGCUAGAGCUCAACUUUAGAACUGCAUCUGAAACUGUGGAACUAGAGUGCAGGAGAGGUAAGCGGAAUUCCUAGUGUAGCGGUGAAAUGCGUAGAUAUUAGGAGGAACACCAGUGGCGAAGGCGGCUUACUGGACUGUAACUGACGUUGAGGCGCGAAAGUGUGGGGAGCAAACAGGAUUAGAUACCCGAGUAGUC